rnacentral:misc_RNA from 1 species
CGCGAAACCAUAACGGAGAAAACCUGAAGUCUUCAAUCCGAUCCAUCGGAUUACAUCCGCAUCAACGAGGAGAAGCAGAAACCAGAAGCAAAGAAGAAGAUAAUGUCAGGGUCCACCAUGGUGGGAGAUCCGAGCUCCUGGUCGCGCGCGUUGGUAAAUAUUUCUCCUUACACAUUCUCCGCCGUUGGCAUCGCCAUUGCUAUCGGCGUCUCUGUUCUUGGCGCUGCCUGGGGAAUUUACAUAACUGGAAGCAGUUUGAUUGGAGCUGCGAUCAAGGCUCC